GCGCGAAAACUUUUCAAUGCGCGAAAGCGUGAGAAGGGAAUUCCGAGUGCUCAAGUUUUACUUGGGCUUUUGCCAAGUGUAAAAAGCUUGGCGAAUAAGGGGUGGGCAAGACUGGUGCCAGCCGCCGCGGUAACACCAGCGCCCCGAGUGGGGAUCGCGAUUAUUGGGCCUAAAGCGUUCGUAGCAGGUCUUGUAAAUUCUUUGUGAAAUCGGCAGGCUUAACCUGUCGGCGUGCAGAGAAGACUGCAAGACUCGAGACCGGGAGAGGUUAGAAGUAUUCCUUGGGUACCGGUAAAAUGGGUUAAUCCAAGGAGGACUACCAAUGGCGAAGGCAUCUAACCAGAACGGUUCUGACUGUGAGGGACGAAAGCUAGGGGAGCAAAACGG
rnacentral:rRNA from 1 species